rnacentral:rRNA from 1 species
AUGCACACCACCGUUUUAUGCACACGUUUAGAAUUGCUCGACAGAGUCUUUGUACUCCUGGUGUUUCUACGGUUUCGAUUCAUUUUUUGGGCGACAUGGCGGUGCCCAUGGUUUUCUGGCCCUACCGCUUCCGAGGUUGUUGCUCUUAUUGUUGGUAAUCUCACACCUGAAUGCAGAAGAUUUGACGUGAUUGCCGAGACGCGGUCUGGUUCAUUGAAACAUAUAUCUUCACUUAAUUGCAAUCUUAUGGCUCUUCAGUAUCCUCUACUUUUUCCAUAUGGUGAUAAGAGUUAUCACCGUGGUAUUAGAUAUGUUCAUGCUAAUGGUUCUUUGGCCACAUCUGAUGCAAAUGUGCAAGCUAAAAGAUAUAUGGACGACCAAGAUUCUGACGAUGAUGCCGACUGUGAUUCCGAGGAUGUGGAUGCUUCUCGUGGACAGGUUACCAUGUCGGAGUAUUAUAAGUACUAUGCUCACUAUCGUGAAGGUGAGGUCAAUCCUUACACAAGUUGUGGCUGGCUGAGUCAGCAGAUUGCCAUUAAUGCUUACUCUUGCAUAGAGGCUGAUCGUCUAGAGUACCAUUUCCGUAAGCAAGAUAAUAUUCGAUCUGAGACCUAUCAGGGCAUAUCUGACGCUUUGGGUGAAGGUGACAAGAGAUUGCAGAUGCUCUUGCUGCCGAACCUGGCCAGACUGCUGCUGACUAGCCUGAUAUUACUACUCGAGUAUUUAGUAUGA